GGAGUCUGCAACCCGACUCGGAGUCUGCAACCCGACUCCAUGAAGGCGGAGUCGCUAGUAAUCGCGGAUCAGCAACGCCGCGGUGAAUGCGUUCCCGGGCCUUGUACACACCGCCCGUCAAGUCAUGAAAGUGGGUAGCACCCGAAGCCGGUGGCCUAACCCCUUGUGGGAUGGAGCCGUCUAAGGUGAGACUCGUGAUUGGGACUAAGUCGUAACAAGGUAGCCGUACCGGAAGGUGCGGCUGGAUCACCUCCUUU
rnacentral:rRNA from 1 species